GGAGGUGAAGGUGAUCUGGCUGCGACAUUUGUCACCCCAUUGAUUGGCCAGGUUGAUUGGGCUGAUCUGGCUGUCUACACAGGUGUCCCCUUCCUCCCUCCAUGUGAAUCUCUCUUGAAGCUGCAUAAUUGGUCAAAGAGGAUGACUUUCCCUGAUAGAGGAGGACUGUUCUUUGAUCAAGGGUCUACAAAUAGCUAUAUUCCCCUGCUAGAACCUCCAAGUGAGCUCUCAAUGUGCAGGAUAGUCUGCCUCAUGUCAGUCUCAGAGCAAUGGAAUCUGCCCAUCAUGAACUGA
ensembl:misc_RNA 7SK 7SK RNA